GGCGGACGGGUGAGUAAUGCAUAGGUAACGUGCCCUUCAGUCUGGGAUAGCCACUGGAAACGGUGAUUAAUACCGGAUACCCCUUCUGAUUGAUUUUCAGAAGGGAAAGGUUUUUCGCUGAGGGAUCGGCCUAUGUCCUAUCAGGUAGUUGGUGAGGUAAGAGCUCACCAAGCCAAUGACGGGUAGCGGGUUUGAGAGGAUGAUCCGCCACACUGGUACUGAGACACGGACCAGACUCCUACGGGAGGCAGCAGUGAGGAAUAUUGCACAAUGGGGGAAACCCUGAUGCAGCAACGCCGCGUGGAGGAUGACGCAUUUCGGUGUGUAAACUCCUUUUAUCAGAGAAGAUAAUGACGGUAUCUGAUGAAUAAGCACCGGCUAACUCCGUGCCAGCAGCCGCGGUAAUACGGAGGGUGCAAGCGUUACUCGGAAUCACUGGGCGUAAAGGACGCGUAGGCGGGUUUUCAAGUCAGGUGUGAAAUCCAAUGGCUCAACCAUUGAACUGCACUUGAAACUGGGAACCUAGAGUAUGGAAGGGGCAGAUGGAAUUAGUGGUGUAGGGGUAAAAUCCGUAGAUAUCACUAGGAAUACCGAAAGCGAAGGCGAUCUGCUGGGACAUUACUGACGCUGAGGCGUGAAAGCGUGGGGGAGCAAACAGGAUUAGAUACCCUGGUAGUUCCACGCCCUAAACGAUGAAUGCUAGU
rnacentral:rRNA from 1 species